GGCCUAGAAUUGACAAUUGCCAGGGCCUGGCAGGGAAAUGAGGACCUCACCGUGACCAAAUGGUGGCACUGUAGCCCCACAAAUGAGGAGGCGCCUUCUCAUGGCCAGGCUGUCGGACUGAUUCCAAUCCAAGCUGGAGCCACAGGAGUGUGAAAUAACAAGCACAAGAGGGAUUUCACGCCUUUACAGAGCUGAAAAGGGGGGCGGACGUGCUGACAGGAAAUCAAUGCUCGGUUUCCCAUGAGCACCUAAUUAGCCGGACACUUGUGCACCGUUGAGACACGGGCUGGAUCUCUUUGUCUGCCGAGUUGAUCAGUGCCAGUCUGCGGGCCAGAAGACAAUCAGACCAGAAGGGUCAUUUUCUGCAAGAGCUCACCUCCCUCCUCCAAGCCUCGCCGCUGACAGGCUCACGCU